rnacentral:lncRNA from 1 species
UGUUUUUGAAAAAAAAAAAUUCAAGAAGCGAUGCAUUUCAUUUUAUGCUGAAGUUGUUGCUUUUCAAGAAAAGAUUUUGAUAGAGUGGAUACAAAUGUCAUUGAAAAUAUUCUGGAUUAUGUUUUUUCUUCCAAAACCACUAAAGUAUUUUCCCCAAUACCAGAUUAUGCACUUGAUCCAACUCCUGUUAUUCGUUCAUUUUUACUCCAACAACUUCUUCAAAGGAGUUACAAUGAGGUCCAAAAGUAUCUCAGUCACCAUUUAGCUAUGUUAUUUUCACAUACAGACCAAAGUCAGCUUCUCGAAGUUGCAAAAGUUUUUAUAUAUUGCAUGGAGAUUCGUAGGUUGUCAACAUUUGGUCAGAUUGGUCAAAGCCAUCCAUGUUUAUGUUAUAUUCAUGUACCAAUAGAGGAAUUUUUUUUUUUUUACCAGCUCUUUUAACAGUGACUAUAUUAUUUGGAACACAGGUACUCAGCGCAAACCAUGUAUAUUAAGGUGGAGUGAAAACAACUUUUUUUAGAAAUUCAUAUUUUC